rnacentral:rRNA from 1 species
CGCGGCCUAUCAGCUUGUUGGCGGGGUAACGGCCCACCAAGGCUAUGACGGGUAGCUGGUCUGAGAGGACGACCAGUCACACGGGGACUGAGACACGGCCCCGACUCCUACGGGAGGCAGCAGUGGGGAAUUUUUCGCAAUGGGCGAAAGCCUGACGGAGUGACGCCGCGUGUGGGACGAAGGCCUUCGGGUCGUAAACCACUGUCAGUGGGAAAGAAGGGUAUCGGCGCUAAUACCGCCGGUAUUUGACGGUACCUGCAGAGGAAGCCCCGGCUAACUCUGUGCCAGCAGCCGCGGUAAGACAGAGGGGGCAAGCGUUGCUCGGAAUUACUGGGCGUAAAGGGCGUGUAGGCGGGAUGGCAAGUCGGUCGUGAAAUCCUUCGGCUCAACCGAAGAACGUCGAUCGAUACUGCCGUUCUUGAGGGUUGCAGAGGAGACUGGAAUUCCCGGUGUAGCGGUGAAAUGUGUAGAGAUCGGGAGGAACACCGGUGGCGAAGGCGGGUCUCUGGGCAAUUCCUGACGCUGAGGCGCGAAAGCGUGGGGAGCAAACGGGAUUAGAUACCCCGGUAGUCCACGCUGUAAACGAUGACGACUAGGUGUGGGGGGGUUCAGUCCCCUCCGUGCCGCCGCUAACGCAUUAAGUCCCCCGCCUGGGGAGUACGG